CCUUUAGUACCGGGAAUUGAAUGAGUUCACUCGCUCGACCACUGAGCCACACCCCCCAGACCUAUUUUUGUAUUUUAUUUAGAGAUAGGUUCUCACUGAGUUGCUUCUUAAUCGCAGGGAGAAAGCCGUUUGGGUGUCGCCUCCUCCAGGACGUCUUCCUUAAGGAAGGGCCCUUCCUCACCACACUCAAAUGUAAUCGGCAUCCAUCCUGUACAUUUGAUUGCACCCUGUUAUUUUACGGCAGGCACACCGUUCGCCCGCCGUUUGGAGCCAUUCCUCAUCUCCCCCACCGAAACAUGAGGCCCUAGAGGGUACUAGUCCUGUCAACGCCAGCAGUUGAGAGUGCUCAGCUAACCUUUGUAGGGGAAGGAAGCCGUGGGAGAGGACGUGAUGGACACCAGGGAAUGAACCAGAGAAGACGCGUGGAGGAGGCUACAAGCUGUAUAGGGGCUAAGGCCGGACACCUGAGUAGGGAUGCUCUGGGGAAGUGGGGAUCAGGCCCCCGGGAAAGGCUGGGGUAAAGUUUCUCUCUGCGGCAGAGUCGGCAUUUGCCUUUCCCAUCCAUUCUCUUUGCCUACAGCACUUCAGUUUCUUUGGUUUGAUCGCAGAAAAGCAAGAGGCUAUCAUGGGUGUAGGACUGACGCUCAGUCAGUCAUUUUCCCCCUGCCAGGCGGAAAGCCUGAUGAAUAGCCAGGACCAACAGAAACUGAGCGCUCUCUGUGUACUGCAUCUUUCAGUCCGCUCCACCGUGAGGUGGGUGUUAUUGUCCAGGGCCGAGUUUAGACUGAGCCAAGUCUUCUAGGAUAACAUUUUAAGGGAGUGCCCCUCUAAAAACUUUCCAGUAAUGGAGAUAAAUAAUAUUUUAGUGCAAUGUAUCUUACCCAUCAAGACGAUCAAAAUAUGCAUCUUGAUUACCAAGGCUUUUUUUUUUUUUGAGGGGGGUGCGUGUUUGUUUCUUUGCUCAAGGCCCCUGUCUGGCUCCUUUCACUCCACCCUGGUCCCCGCCUUGUUAUCAUCACCUCCAUUCUCCUGACCGGUGCUGAAUGGCAACCACGGGCCACAUGGAGCCCUGGAAAGGUGGUUCCUUGUAGUUCAGUGGUGCUGUGAGUGUAAAAUACAGUGUUCAAAUGUGGAACAUCUCGUUUGUGAUUUUACAUCUGUGUGGUGUUCAAGCGAGGUUUUGGAUUUAUCAAGGUAAAUAGAUAUUAUUUCAAGAUACUAAACUUGAUUUCCCCUCUUUUUUUUUUUUUUUUUCCUUUCAAAACCACUAUGUCCCCAGCCUUUUGAUCCAUGCUUUUAGAUACUGCCUUGACCUGAGGAAGAUUUGGCUCACAGGGCCUAGGAGUUGUCUUUUAUACUCCAUAAAGACUUGGCCUGGGAGGCCAAAAACCACCCUCCAACAAGGGCACAGAAGGAAUCACUUCCAUCUUCUCUUGUCUCUGGUAGCUCCCCAGGCUCCUGCAUGUCCAUGUCAGCUCAGUCCUUCAUAAAGGGCACUGAUGUGUCCAUGUGGAAGACACCCCACUGACAAGAUGGAUGAGGCAAGGCUGAACAAGGCCUUAAGGUGGCUUCAGAUGAGCUCUUCUUAAUCUUCCUACCCUGCAGCCUCCUCCUGCUUCCACAUACUUUGGACCUCUUGCGAGGCCCUCAGUAAAUGUAUGGAGAAUGUCAUUAAAAUUUUGCUUAGA